rnacentral:rRNA from 1 species
CUACGGGCGGCUGCAGUGAGGAAUAUUGCACAAUGGGGGGAACCCUGAUGCAGUAACGCCGCGUGGAGGAUGACGCAUUUCGGUGUGUAAACUCCUUUUAUAUGUCAAGAAAAUGACGGUAGCAUAUGAAUAAGCACCGGCUAACUCCGUGCCAGCAGCCGCGGUAGUACGGAGGGUGCAAGCGUUACUCGGAAUCACUGGGCGUAAAGGACGCGUAGGCGGGUUGGAAAGUCAGGUGUGAAAUCCUACAGCUUAACUGUAGAACUGCACUUGAAACUUCUAAUCUAGAGUAUGGGAGGGGGAGAUGGAAUUAGUGGUGUAGGGGUAAAAUCCGUAGAUAUCACUAGGAAUACCUAAAGCGAAGGCGAUCUCCUGGAACAUUACUGACGCUAAGGCGUGAAAGCGUGGGGAGCAAACAGGAUUAGAUACCCUGGUAGUC